AGAGUUUGAUCAUGGCUCAGAUUGAACGCUGGCGGCAGGCCUAACACAUGCAAGUCGAGCGGUAGAGAGAAGCUUGCUUCUCUUGAGAGCGGCGGACGGGUGAGUAAUGCCUAGGAAUCUGCCUGGUAGUGGGGGACAACGUUUCGAAAGGAACGCUAAUACCGCAUACGUCCUACGGGAGAAAGCAGGGGACCUUCGGGCCUUGCGCUAUCAGAUGAGCCUAGGUCGGAUUAGCUAGUUGGUGAGGUAAUGGCUCACCAAGGCGACGAUCCGUAACUGGUCUGAGAGGAUGAUCAGUCACACUGGAACUGAGACACGGUCCAGACUCCUACGGGAGGCAGCAGUGGGGAAUAUUGGACAAUGGGCGAAAGCCUGAUCCAGCCAUGCCGCGUGUGUGAAGAAGGUCUUCGGAUUGUAAAGCACUUUAAGUUGGGAGGAAGGGUUGUAGAUUAAUACUCUGCAAUUUUGACGUUACCGACAGAAUAAGCACCGGCUAACUUCGUGCCAGCAGCCGCGGUAAUACGAAGGGUGCAAGCGUUAAUCGGAAUUACUGGGCGUAAAGCGCGCGUAGGUGGUUCGUUAAGUUGGAUGUGAAAGCCCCGGGCUCAACCUGGGAACUGCAUCCAAAACUGGCGAGCUAGAGUACGGUAGAGGGUGGUGGAAUUUCCUGUGUAGCGGUGAAAUGCGUAGAUAUAGGAAGGAACACCAGUGGCGAAGGCGACCACCUGGACUGAUACUGACACUGAGGUGCGAAAGCGUGGGGAGCAAACAGGAUUAGAUACCCUGGUAGUCCACGCCGUAAACGAUGUCAACUAGCCGUUGGGUUCCUUGAGAACUUAGUGGCGCAGCUAACGCAUUAAGUUGACCGCCUGGGGAGUACGGCCGCAAGGUUAAAACUCAAAUGAAUUGACGGGGGCCCGCACAAGCGGUGGAGCAUGUGGUUUA
rnacentral:rRNA from 1 species